ACAGAGUUUGAUUUGGUUGUGGAUUUGCGCAUCCCAGUCUCCAGUGUGCCAUCCAAUUUCUUCGAUAUAUUCAGGCAAAGACUGGCAAUCUUACCGUUGCCCCUCGUCACUGGAUCUUUAUCUAUACGAAACAUAACUUUCACCACAGCGUGCUAUCCAAACUCCACUGGAGGACUGCAGUGUCGGUGUGAGAACCAGUUUGCUUGGUCAUGUGACAAGUGUACCAGAUACGGUGCGUGCAGUAAUGCUACCAGUCAAAGCUGUGAGUGCAUUAACGGACUUCCUGAUGGACAGUUCUGUGAACCAAUCGCAAAUGUCACUCCAUGUAGAAACCCGUCUGGUAUGAGAACAUUUGUUUUUCUUUGUUUUGCAUGGAUAAGUUCAACAGAGUGUGUAGUAGUUGAAGACACUUGUUGCAA